GCAGCCCAUCUUGCAUAUUACUCCUAAACAAGUGUCUUUUGGACCAUUGUAAGAGGCAGAACCAACAUCUUGUGGCAACUCUGGAGGAGAGAAUGAAGCUAUGAGAACACAAAAGUACCAAAGGAAAGACUUGUCUCCCUCCCUGCUGUGCUAAGUCAGGCCAGACUCAUGUGAUUGCUCACCCAGCCUGGGAAGCCGCGGUCUUCAGAUGCUCUGGGAUGCAGAGGUGUCCUGCCUUUUCACGCAACCAGGGGAAAAGUGUUAAUAUGCUGCUCAUUAGGAAUCUGAAAUUCCUGCCAUCCUCUCCUGCAUCCUAAUCGAAAUGCAUCUCAUCUUUAUCUGAUGCAGAGUUUCAGAUGAAAAUUAGAACGCUGGGCUGAAAGGUAAACUCGGCAGGAAAUCCUGCUUUCUCUUCAGCACUAGAUGUGCUUUUGACCUCCUAAAAUGUGACUUUGUGUUAAUUUAAAACUAAAUUCCCACUAGAUUAAGCACAAUCUGAAGACGCAAUAGGAGAAUGGCAGAGAAGGGGAAUCCAAGCAGCACUUAAUGUCGUCUUUACUUGUGUUUCAUGCUGAAAGAUCAGUUCAGGUAGUGAAUUAUUUAUGCUGCAGUCUGGCACAAGCAUAGGCAUGCAGCCUGCCAAAAUGUAGGAAGUCCAUUGUGAAGGCAGGAUAUUGGAUCCCGCAGGUGCGAACAGGCGUGCUUCCAUGUUUGAAAGUUCACAGUGGGAGAAUUCAAAUCGACCUCUGAGGUUGGCUGCAGAUUAAACUCCUCCAUUUUUAAUUAGAUGCUGCCCAAAGGACCUCAUGUCAGGAAAAAAGUAACACUAAACCCAUGGAAAUAUCCGUAAUAAUUGUCCUACAGAUUCAGUCAUUGUCGGUGGGGUAAAACAUUAACAUCCUUUUGUUGUGCUCAAGCAUUUGCUUGGUUUGGGGUUUUAUUUUCCUGCAGUCCAACAACUUUAAAGCCUAAUGAGUUAAGAAUUGCCCAGGAUGAUAAUGGGGCUGCUAAGACUCUUUAAUGAUUGGCAUGGCUCAUGAAGGGGAGAAACAAAACUGAAGGAGGCUCCCUGGGGAAGGGUGUAAGGCCACAAAGGGUUGAGUGGGCAACUUGGAGAAAGGGGCUGUUGCUUUCACACCAUUAGGUGUUUAAAAGAAGCCAAACCCUGGCCACAGCUGACUAAUUUUGGCUAAUUGGAACCUACAUGGGUCAAAGCUUGGUGGCCUUGCUGCUGGUAGGUCAGGGCAGCAUCCAUCAUUGGCCUCUCCUCUGAACGGCAGCCCAUCCACAGCCUGUGACAGUGCAUACAAGCAGGAAAACUGUCAGGAAGCUAUUCCUUGUGGAAGAUCAUGUUGUGCUCGUUUGUCUUGGUGCUGCUUUCCCAUAGCUGGGGUGGAUGAUCAAGGAAGUGCAUACGUAGACCGGUCUCAUGGGAUGUCCUUGCUCUUCCUCCUACUUCAGGGCCAAUUUAUCACUGUAGAGCCUUUCUCUCCCUUCUCUGCUGACAGAUUAGCUACUGUUCAACCACUGCUCAUAUCCUAGCUGAAAUCCUAGGUAAAACCAGCUGAUGCUGGUGGGUACAUGGGCUUUGAUCCUCAGCAGGAGUGGCUCUGGUAUGGGGUUUCACUGUGGGAGCAGGGAGUGCAGCUGAGCUAUUUGAAUAGCUUGUUUGGAUUUUUGCUUCCAAACUGUGGAUAAAAGAGCCUUUCUUGUGUAGCAACACUUCCAGAGAUGCAGAAUUCCCUUACAAAAGGAUGGAAGCCUUUGUGGUGGGUGCAUGGAUGUGUGGGCUCAGCUAUGGUGAGAGGUGUGGGCUGAUACGCUGCCUGCUCACUCCUACUGUCUACUGCUGUGUGGAGGACUGGCCUGGUUUUAGGCAAUGCUCUGUCACUUAAAUGCAUCAAUCCCAAAAUACAUCAGGCAAGAG